rnacentral:rRNA from 1 species
GACGAACGCUGGCGGCGUGCUUAACACAUGCAAGUCGAACGAAGAGCGAUGGAAGCUUGCUUCUAUCAAUCUUAGUGGCGAACGGGUGAGUGACGCGUAAUCAACCUGCCCUUCAGAGGGGGACAACAGUUGGAAACGACUGCUAAUACCGCAUACGAUCUAACCUCGGCAUCGAGGAUGGAUGAAAGGUGGCCUCUAUUUAUAAGCUAUCACUGAAGGAGGGGAUUGCGUCUGAUUAGCUAGUUGGAGGGGUAACGGCCCACCAAGGCGAUGAUCAGUAGCCGGUCUGAGAGGAUGAACGGCCACAUUGGGACUGAGACACGGCCCAGACUCCUACGGGAGGCAGCAGUGGGGAAUCUUCCGCAAUGGACGAAAGUCUGACGGAGCAACGCCGCGUGAGUGAUGACGGCCUUCGGGUUGUAAAGCUCUGUUAAUCGGGACGAAAGGCCUUCUUGCGAAUAGUUAGAAGGAUUGACGGUACCGGAAUAGAAAGCCACGGCUAACUACGUG